rnacentral:lncRNA from 1 species
AUUAUUAUAUAUAAUUUUGAUAAAUUUUUAAAUAUAUAAUUUGUAUAUAUUAUACAUUAAUCACAUUUAAAGAAUAUUAUCCAAAACAUCUUUAAUAACAGUCAGUAUUAUCAAAUUAUUUGUUUAUAAUUUUUGCAAUAAAAAUAAAUUAUAAAUGUUUAUGAAAUUUAGUCCUUCAGUGGACUAAUUUAAAAUAUUGAUGUAUUAUUUCUCUGUUUUAAAAUAUAAUGAUAUUAUUUUUUUUUUGCUAAAUAUUAUUUUUUAAAUUAUAAAAUUUUCAAAACUAUUUUCUUUCUUGUAUUCAACAUUUAUUCAGUAAAGUUUAUUGGAUUUUAAAUUUAUUAUAUUUAUUUUAAAGUGGAUAGAAAAAUUGUAUCAGCAGUUUGUCUAAAUUUUUCUUUUUAAAAAAUAAUGUUCGCAUUUUACAUUUUUUAAAAUAAUUCUUAGGAAAAUUCGAAGAAAGAUAUUUGGAGGCAAGUGAUUCGCCAACGAUUGGCUAUUUCAUUCCAGUUGAAUCAGCCUUAUUCUAUCAGAUUGAAACAACGUAAUUCAUUCCAAUUGAAUCAGCCAAAUUCAUUGAAAUUGAAACAUCCUAAUUUAUUCAUUUUGAAACAGGUAGAAUCAGAUUAUUUUAAAUGGAACUAGUUGGUGCAAUUAUUGGUUCAAUAUAUCACUUCCAUCACCUACAUAAAAUUCAGGAUUCAACACUGCAUAUUGAUUCUAAUUGCACUUAUAUCUUGGGAGAUUUAUUUACUGGGUAUUCUUUUUUAAAAUAUUGCAAAAUUAUGCAUGCUGCAAAAAUGGGAACUAUCAUAACUUCAAUACAUGUGGGUAUAUUUGGCAUGACUAAGGUCUUAUAAUAUAUAAGUAAUAUACUUUCUUUGCACAUGAAAGUUUCACAUAUCAAUGUAUGUAUGUGUGGGUGUAUUUAUUUAUUAUUAUAGUUUAGUUAUAAGAUUAGUGAUAUAUAUGUUAUAUAUUUAGUAAUAAUUUAAACAUUCAUGACAGAUAUUAAAUUUAAAUAUUAAAAAUUUUACUCUGAAUGUUUUGAAUAAUUUUACCUAUUUUCUUAUUGUACAAUAAUUAUUUAAAAAAAUUUAAUUGUCAUGAAUGAUGUCUAAUAUAACAUAA